UGGGGAAUAUUGCACAAUGGGGGAAACCCUGAUGCAGCGACGCCGCGUGAGCGAAGAAGGUUUUCGAAUCGUAAAGCUCUGUCCUAUGAGAAGAUAAUGACGGUAUCAUAGGAGGAAGCCCCGGCUAAAUACGUGCCAGCAGCCGCGGUAAUACGUAUGGGGCGAGCGUUGUCCGGAAUUAUUGGGUUUAAAGGGAGCGUAGGCUGUUUGUUAAGCGUGUUGUGAAAUGUAAGAGCUCAACUUUUAGAUUGCAGCGCGAACUGGCAGACUUGAGUGCGCACAACGUAGGCGGAAUUCAUGGUGUAGCGGUGAAAUGCUUAGAUAUCAUGACGAACUCCGAUUGCGAAGGCAGCUUACGGGAGCGCAACUGACGCUAAAGCUCGAAGGUGCGGGUAUCGAACAGG
rnacentral:rRNA from 1 species